UUGAGGUAAGUUAUCUAACACUUCAAAGUGUACUUUAUGAUCUUUGAAAAAUUAUAAUUAGUUUAUUUAGUUUGAUUUAUGAUCUAUAUUUUUUUGUUUGAUAAAAUGGGUCAAAAAUAUAUUAUUUUAUUAUUGUAAAUAAUUUAUUUUAUACAUAUGAUCUGCUUUGAGAAAUGAAUUUGGAAAUUUGAUUGGAUAGUGUAUAAAAUUAGUUUUAUAUGUAGUCUUAGCAUUACUAUAAUCCGGCCUUGACAAUAGAGAUUAUAUGUUAAGUCUGUUAACUUAUAAUCUGAGAAACUAGUCUCGACAUCAAGUCAUCC
rnacentral:lncRNA from 1 species